rnacentral:lncRNA from 1 species
AGCACCUAUCCAGUGAGGCUGUGAGGAAGGCCUUAUACCAAGAAUAGGAGAAAGCUAGAAGGAGCCCAUACCUCUGACUGCCCUUGACUGCCCACGCAAGAACUCAUGCUGGAAAAACAAAGCCCUGUUUAGGCCUGUUUUUCCUGGAACCAGCAGGACUCCCAUCCAGGUCCACUCAAGUUGUGACACUGCUUGGCUUACUGUGCCAUGAUAAAUAAGCCAGUUUGAGUCACUUGGUCUAAUAUCGAGACCACGAACAUAUUGAUCACAGAAUGUGUUAGGUAAGCAUGUUGUUGACUGAAGUGUAAGUAAGGUGCUCACCUUAAAUGCAUGUGCCAACAUCAGCAUCUUCAGAAGAGUCUCUUUCCCUUUGGGACAUCGAGGUGACUGACAGUUAAACAAGCCGUAUUUGGAGUAGGUGUACAAUCAGCCUCCUUCCAGUUCUCCUUGGCACUUUCCAGUUCACAAAGGACACUUCACUCCUUUUUGGUUUUUUUGAGACAGGGUCUCACUCUGUCACCCAGGCUAGAGUACGGUGGUGAGAUCACCC